GUGAAGAUAUAGGACUGACUUCAAGAGGAGAACAGGAUAACAUUCCUCCACAUUGAGUAUCUUGUCCACAAGGGGGUGCAUCUUUCUAACACAUACAUGUAUAUUUCCUGCUUAAAUUAUAAGUUCAUAUUCCUCCUUUCACUGUUAUCUUAACUGUUCUUCCCACUAAACAGUUAAGACUCAAGGACACCAGAGACUCUAAGAAUGAACUUCUCUCCAGGGUCAGUGAUUGUGAUAUUCUUAAUGUUUGGAAGAAGCAAUGGAGACUCAGUGACCCAAACAAAAGGUCAGGUAACCCUCUCAGAAGGGGCUUCGCUGACUGUGAACUGCUCCUAUGAAACCACACAGUACCCUGCACUUUUAUGGUAUGUCCAAUAUCCCAGAAAAGGUCCACAGCUCCUCCUGAGAGCCUCAAAGGCCAACGAUAAGGAUCGCAACAAGGGUUUUGAAGCCACAUACAAUACAGAGACCACCUCCUUCCACUUGGAGAAAGCCUCAGUCCAAGAGUCAGACUCGGCCAUGUACUACUGUGCUCUGAGUGACACAGUGACAGGAACCGCAGAAAGAGCUGAACAUAAACUCUGAGCGUUAACAAGGGGUCUGUGUGCUGAGUGUCUCACCUUAUGUUCCACUCUGGUUUAGGAAUCAGGAGCUAGUCUUCUGUUGUCGUCACCCACCAUCCACCCCAGGUAUUGUUGUUGGUAUGAAAGUCAUCCAAAUCAAUUCUAAGAACUCAGCAGUA